GUAGGGAAUAUUGGACAAUGGGCGAAAGCCUGAUCCAGCCAUGCCGCGUGAACGAUGAAGGCCUUCGGGUUGUAAAGUUCUUUAGCCGAUGAUUAUAAUGACUGUAGUCGGAAAAUAAGCCCCGGCUAACUUCGUGCCAGCAGCCGCGGUAAUACGAAGGGGGCGAGCGUUAUUCGGAAUCACUGGGCGUAAAGCGUGCGUAGGCGGUUUUGUAAGUUAGGAGUGAAAGCCCAGGGCUCAACCUUGGAAUUGCUCUUAAAACUGCAAGGCUCGAAUCUCGGAGAGGAUAGCGGAAUUUCCAGUGUAGCAGUGAAAUGCGUAGAUAUUGGAAGGAACACCAGUGGCGUAAGCGGCUAUCUGGACGAGUAUUGACGCUGAGGCACGAAAGCGUGGGGAUCAAACAGGAUUAGAUACCCGGGUAGUCC
rnacentral:rRNA from 1 species